AGUUUAUUGCUAUUUUACCUCCCGGUGAUUGUGGAGCCGUUCGCAUGGUUCAUACGAAUCCCUUUGUGCCCAGGUUAGAUGGCCGCCAUUUCGGGACUUUACACGUGUUCGCGGCCAUCUUACGCACGAACGGCGGUGUUUGCCUGUGAACGCAUGGAACAAAAAACGGAUACGCAAACAGGCGAACACCGCUGAGACCUCCAGGAGCUCGUAAGUUCGUGCUGGAACUACCGAACGACCGGCCGUUCGGUAGUUUUGUUUAAGCAUUCAUGGGGAUUCAGGCGAACACCAGGAUGACUGUGGAUGGCAAGGGGUUCGUGGGGUUUUUAUGCACGAACGGAGACCGACCGCAAGGCCAAAACUUAUGGAACUCUUUUCGGCUGGAAAACCUGUGCGGUCGGUCAAAACUUCAAAGAUCCAUAACUCCCGAACCCCCCAACCGGAUGGACUGAAAUUUGGAUAUAUUGUUCCCCUGAGUGAGAGCUAUUAAGCGGUGCUGGACUUAAAGGUGUACCCCCUGUUUUUGGGGUACAUCCAGAAUGUAGUUAAAAGUGUGUCUGUUUUAAUUGUGUUAUAUGUUAUCUGAGGGGAGGAGACGUGGGGGUUGAACCAUGUAUGUAAUUGGCUGUUGUGAUAAUUAUGUGGGUGUAGCCUUUCAGAGGGCACCAUUGCAUAAAAGGAG